GUGAUGUAGGUCUUUAGUGCAGAGGGAUGACGAGGAAUCCACGAUCUGA
rnacentral:snoRNA from 1 species